AGUGAACGCUGGCGGUAGGCCUAACACAUGCAAGUCGAACGGCAGCACAGUAAGAGCUUGCUCUUACGGGUGGCGAGUGGCGGACGGGUGAGGAAUACAUCGGAAUCUACUUUUUCGUGGGGGAUAACGUAGGGAAACUUACGCUAAUACCGCAUACGACCUACGGGUGAAAGCAGGGGAUCUUCGGACCUUGCGCGAUUGAAUUAGCCGAUGUCGGAUUAGCUAGUUGGCGGGGUAAGGGCCCACCAAGGCGACGAUCCGUAGCUGGUCUGAGGGGAGGAUCAGCCACACUGGAACUGAGACACGGUCCAGACUCCUACGGGAGGCAGCAGUGGGGAAUAUUGGACAAUGGGCGCAAGCCUGAUCCAGCCAUACCGCGUGGGUGAAGAAGGCCUUCGGGUUGUAAAGCCCUUUUGUUGGGAAAGAAAAGCAGCAGGUUAAUACCCCGCUGUUCGGACGGUACCCAAAGAAUAAGCACCGGCAAACUUCGU
rnacentral:rRNA from 1 species